GAGAGCAAAUUGAAGGACAAUCUCUUCCCCAUUGGAACAAGGUGUAUGAUGCUGAGAGAUGAAUUUGGGGCCAAUCUUCUGACAGUAUGGAUAAUACAUUUGCAUCAGAAUGGAAUUCCUUUAAGCACCUGAAGGAAAGAAUUGCUUUGGAGCACAGAAAGAGAAAUCUGAGAAUAGAAGCUUGAAGAAAUUCCCUAUUAUAAAACCCUAUGGCUGGUCAUCUAGAGUUGCAGAUGACAAAGUUUUGAAGAUACAGUUUCAGAAAAGACAUCUGGCUCCUUGACAGACUUCAGAGACACCAUUCAUCACAAUUCUGGAGUUGACUUUGGCUAUGUCACAUGCUCCGGAUGUUGUUCAUUCGGACAGUUUUAACCACUUCCCUUAAUCAUAUUCUUUCUGAAUCAUGUUACAUUAUUGGGAAUGUGCAUCUUCACACUGCAUGCAUUUGACAAUACAUUUAAUACAAAUUCCUAAUGAGAUAUCUGACCUUUGAUAUUUUUAAAUGAAGGUACAUAUUUGAAUAUUUGUAUUUAUUUGCAUGCGUGCAUUCUCCCCUGGAGCCAAAAUAACACUAGAUCUGAAAUACUCAUGGUUCUUCUGGUCCUAGAUAGAUAGUGGCUAUACCACAAAACCAUCAGAUCCUGAUAUUUCAGAAACAUCAACAGCUCCCUGAGAAAAAGUCUGAUAAAAAAAAAUCAGUUACCAAGAUAUUCAGGUUUAUCUGAAUACUGAUAUAGUUUGGUUCAUUCAGAUUCCUGUGCAAAUCAAAUGGACAGCCCACUUACAUAACUUUCAAUGACUUCAUAACUUAUGCUACUCUAAAAGGCAAAACUCCUGUCCAUAAUAAUUUUAGCACAAUGGACCACUACAACCCAUUUCUCAUUUCACAAAAGAGUAAAGGACCUUUUCUGAUACCUGGAUUUCAAAAUUUAAUGCCUUGUCAAAAUGAAAUUGUCACAGGAAAAUUGUUUAUAUGAACACCAAUAUGUAAUAUGAUGUCUUUGUCAACUGUUUUAUGGAAUCUGUCAAGUAAGACCUACCUACUGGACCUGUGGGUAUUGUCAUCAGGCAAAUACGUAUCUGCCUAACUAGAAGCAGACAGCACUUUUCUUUACUAUUUCUGCCCCAUUCUGGGGAUAGUAAAUAUCCAGUGUUCACAUAUUUUUGACUUGAGUUAAUUUCUGAGUAACCUCUGAAAGAUUCAGAAAGAAGUUCUAGGCACAAUGACAGUUUGGUCUAUUUUUCUUUUUUAAACAUCCCAAUCAAGUCCAGUGCUUCAUGAUGCAAGCUGAUUACUAUAUGGUACAAGAAAAAAUGAUUAAUUACCUUCUGUGGGGUGGUUUGUUUUUCUCCAAACUUGUUUAGUACUGGUGCUUAGAUGCUUCAGCAAUGGGCACAAUUAUAAAAAAAGCUGGAUAGAACAAAUGGUAUCAUAACUUUCCCGGAACUUAGAAAAAAGUACUAUGAAAUGUAAUUCAAAAGGAUAACCUUUCCAUAUAAUAUUUAAAUAGCUUAUAGAAUUCUAU